UUGACCUCGAUCACUAGGUACCCACGCG
rnacentral:rRNA from 1 species